rnacentral:rRNA from 1 species
AUCUACCUUCAGGACGGGGACAACAGCUGGAAACGGCUGCUAAUACCCGAUAUGCCGAAAGGUGAAANGUUNUUUCGCCUGGAGAGGAGCUCGCGUCCGAUUAGCUAGUUGGUGAGGUAAAAGCUUACCAAGGCGACGAUCGGUAGCUGGUCUGAGAGGAUGAGCAGCCACACUGGAACUGAGACACGGUCCAGACUCCUACGGGAGGCAGCAGUGGGGAAUUUUCCGCAAUGGGCGAAAGCCUGACGGAGCAACGCCGCGUGGGGGAAGAAGGUUUUUGGAUUGUAAACCCCUUUUCUCAAGGAAGAACAAAAUGACGGUACUUGAGGAAUCAGCCUCGGCUAACUCCGUGCCAGCAGCCGCGGUAAUACGGAGGAGGCAAGCGUUAUCCGGAAUUAUUGGGCGUAAAGCGUUCGUAGGCGGCUGUUCAAGUCUGCUGUCAAAGACCGAGGCUCAACCUCGGGUAGGCAGUGGAAACUGGAUAGCUAGAGGUCGGUAGGGGCAGAGGGAAUUCCCAGUGUAGCGGUGAAAUGCGUAGAUAUUGGGAAGAACACCGGUGGCGAAAGCGCUCUGCUGGGCCGAACCUGACGCUGAGGGACGAAAGCUAGGGGAGCGAAUG